rnacentral:rRNA from 1 species
UACGGGGGGGGCAAGCGUUGUUCGGAAUUACUGGGCGUAAAGGGCUCGUAGGUGGCCAACUAAGUCAUACGUGAAAUCCCUCAGCUUAACUGGGGAACUGCGUCUGAUACUGGAUGGCUUGAGUUUGGGAGAGGGAUGCGGAAUUCCAGGUGUAGCGGUGAAAUGCGCAGAUAUCAGGAAGAACACCCGUGGCUAAGGCGGCUCUCUAGUACGGUACUGACGCUGAGACGCGAAAGCGUGGGGAGCGAACAGG